GAUGAACGCUGGCGGCGUGCCUAAUACAUGCAAGUCGAGCGAACGGACGAGAAGCUUGCUUCUCUGAUGUUAGCGGCGGACGGAUGAGUAACACGUGGAUAACCUACCUAUAAGACUGGGAUAACUUCGGGAAACCGGAGCUAAUGCCGGAUAAUAUUUUGAACCGCAUGGUUCAAAAGUGAAAGACGGUCUUGCUGUCACUUAUAGAUGGAUCCGCGCUGCAUUAGCUAGUUGGUAAGGUAACGGCUUACCAAGGCAACGAUGCAUAGCCGACCUGAGAGGGUGAUCGGCCACACUGGAACUGAGACACGGUCCAGACUCCUACGGGAGGCAGCAGUAGGGAAUCUUCCGCAAUGGGCGAAAGCCUGACGGAGCAACGCCGCGUGAGUGAUGAAGGUCUUCGGAUCGUAAAACUCUGUUAUUAGGGAAGAACAUAUGUGUAAGUAACUGUGCACAUCUUGACGGUACCUAAUCAGAAAGCCACGGCUAACUACGUG
rnacentral:rRNA from 1 species